rnacentral:rRNA from 1 species
AGAACGAACGCUGGCGGCGCGCCUAACACAUGCAAGUCGAGCGCUCACCUUCGGGUGGGAGCGGCGGACGGGUGAGUAACGCGUGGGAAUCUGCCCUGGAGCUCGGGACAACCGCGGGAAACUGCGGCUAACACCGAAUACGCCCUCUGCAAAGAGGGGAAAGUUCACACUCUGGGAUGAGCCCGCGUCCGAUUAGGUAGUUGGUGAGGUAACGGCUCACCAAGCCUACGAUCGGUAGCCGGUCUGAGAGGACGAUCGGCCACACUGGGACUGAGACACGGCCCAGACUCCUACGGGAGGCAGCAGUGGGGAAUCUUGGACAAUGGGCGAAAGCCUGAUCCAGCGACGCCGCGUGGGUGAUGAAGGCCUUCGGGUUGUAAAGCCCUUUUCCUGGGGACGAUGAUGACGGUACCCGGGAAUAAGCACCGGCUAACUCCGCGCCAGCAGCCGC